rnacentral:rRNA from 1 species
AGUGAACGCUGGCGGUAGGCCUAACACAUGCAAGUCGAACGGCAGCACAGUAAGAGCUUGCUCUUACGGGUGGCGAGUGGCGGACGGGUGAGGAAUACAUCGGAAUCUACUUUUUCGUGGGGGAUAACGUAGGGAAACUUACGCUAAUACCGCAUACGACCUACGGGUGAAAGCAGGGGAUCUUCGGACCUUGCGCGAUUGAAUGAGCCGAUGUCGGAUUAGCUAGUUGGCGGGGUAAAGGCCCACCAAGGUGACGAUCCGUAGCUGGUCUGAGAGGACGAUCAGCCACACUGGAACUGAGACACGGUCCAGGCUCCUACGGGAGGCAGCAGUGGGGAAUAUUGGACAAUGGGCGCAAGCCUGAUCCAGCCAUACCGCGUGGGUGAAGAAGGCCUUCGGGUUGUAAAGCCCUUUUGUUGGGAAAGAAAAGCAGCAGGUUAAUACCCCGCUGUUCUGACGGUACCCAAAGAAUAAGCACCGGCUAACUUCGUG